rnacentral:snRNA from 1 species
GCGCUAGCUUCAGCAGCACAUAUACUGAAACUGGAAUAAUACAGAGAAGAUUAGGAUGGGUCCUGCACAAGGAUGAUAAGCAAAUUCAUGAAGUGUUCCAUAUUAUA